rnacentral:tRNA from 1 species
CUCGCAUUGGGCUAAUUGGCAAGUCACCUGGUUUGGGGCCAGGAGGAUCUCCGUUCGAGUCGGAGGUGCGAGACCA